rnacentral:misc_RNA from 1 species
GGUAUCGAGAAGGCGUAUGGCAUGAAACAUGUAUCACUGGAUAUAAAGAAGACUCUGAAGGAGAUUCUGAUCAGACUGAAGAUUCUGGAGGUUUUGAUUCAAAUGAAAAAUCUGCUACUCAAGCUUUACCCCAACGAAGUCUUGAAAACUCAGGUUUUGCUUUUACUCAUGAGCAAUGUCAACGUUUGUUGGCUUUAAUUCAACAACCAGAUUCUCUCAAACCCUCGCAUCUCACCAAUCAAAUAAGCACCCAUCCAGUAUUCAAUUCCACUGUUGCCCAGCCCUCAGGUAUUCAUUUUAGUUUUGUGUGUUCCUUAAAUCCUAAUCUGUGGAUCUUGGAUACAGGAGCCACAGACCACAUCACAUUUUCUCUUUCUUGUUUUACCACUUACAAAAUGAUUAAACCAAUAACUGUAAAAUUACCAGAUGGUAGUCAAAUUGUAGCUAAUUUUUCUGGCACAAUUCAUUUUUCUCCUUCUCUUGUUUUAACAGAUGUCCUUUAUAUUCCUGAGUUUAAAUUCAACCUUAUAUCUGUUACCAAACUCACUUCUACCUUACAUUGUUUUCUAACUUUUCAAUAUGAUAAGUGUCUCAUCCAGGAUCUGAAUACCUUGAAGAGGAUUGGUAUAGCUGAAGUUAAAGAUGGUUUGUAUGCAAUGGUAGAACCUGCCGCACCUGUACUCUUUUCAUCUGCUGCAAUAAAUUCCAUCUGCAAUUCUUCCAUUCCGCAAGAAUCUCAACCUUCUUUCAAUCUUUGGCACUACAGACUUGGACAUCCAUCACAAGCUAUAUUACAUAUCAUCCAAAAUAAAAAUCCUUUUGUUACAUCACUAUUAGAACAGGUCUGUGAUGUUUGUCAUCUUGCUAAGCAAAAAAAAUUGCCUUUUUCAAUCAGUAAAUCCAAAACUACAGCUGUUUUUGAUCUUCUACAUGUAGAUAUCUGGGGUCCCUUCUCUGUAACAGCCAUUCAUGGCCAUAUAUAUUUUCUUACAGUUGUAGAUGACCAUUCUAGACAUACAUGGGUGUUCUUAAUGAAGAAUAAAUCAGAAACUCAGUCUUUACUUCAAUCAUUUUAUGCACUUAUAGAAACCCAAUUUUCUGCCAAGAUCAAAAUUAUAAGAACUGACAAUGGAUUAGAAUUUAAUAUGCCCCAAUUUUAUGCUUCUAAAGGCAUAAUUCAUCAAACCACUUGCGUAGAAACACCUCAGCAAAAUGCAAUAGUAGAGAGAAAACACCAACACAUCUUGAAUGUGGCUAGAGCUUUACUUUUUCAAGCUUCUCUACCUAAAAUUUUUUGGUCUUAUGCUAUCUUGCAUUCAGUUUAUUUGAUCAACAGACUUCCCACUCCUGUUCUUCAAAAUCAAUCUCCAUAUGAGGUACUUUACCACACCAUUCUUAGUCUUGAUAACCUUAAAGUUUUUGGCUCAUUAUGUUUUGCCUCCACUAUUACUGCACAAAGAUCAAAAUUUGACCCCAGAGCAAAGAAAUGUGUGUUUCUUGGUUUUAAGAGUGGCACUAAAGGAUACAUUUUGUUUGAUCUUCAUUCUAGAGAGAUUUUCAUUUCUCGAAAUGUGAUUUUUCAUGAAUCAGUUUUUCCAUUUCAUUCACAGCCUCAUUCUUCAUCUAAUUUUUUUCCAAUACCUAUGCCUCAAAAUAUCAGUCUUCCCCAUUAUGAUUUUACUGAUCCUCUUGCUAAUUCCUUACCACCUUCUUCAUCACAAUCAUCUACUCCAUCUAUUGUUCCUAAACAAUCUUGCAGAACUAAAAGGAAGCCUUCCUAUCUCCAAGACUACCAUUGCAACUUAUCCUCUUCAACUUUAGCUGCUGAAAAUUCAGGUAUUCUUUAUCCUCUUUCCAAUUUCGUUUCUUAUACUUCUUUAUCUCCAUCAUAUAAAAAUUUUGUUCUUUCCAUCACCACCCCAAUUGAACCAAAGUCUUAUUCCCAAGCUAUAAAGUUUGAUUGUUGGAAAGAAGCUAUGCAAGCUGAGAUAUCUGCUUUAGAGCAAAACAAAACUUGGGUGCUCACAGAUUUACCAAGUGGCAAGGUUCCCAUUGGUUGUAAAUGGGUCUAUAAAAUCAAACACAAAGUAGAUGGUUCUAUUGAACGUUACAAGGCAAGAUUAGUUGCUAAGGGCUAUACACAAACUGAGGGUAUUGACUACUUUGACACCUUUUCACCUGUAGCAAAAAUGACAACAGUAAGACUCUUACUUGCUCUUGCUGCUAUGCACAAUUGGUUCCUUAAACAAUUGGAUGUGAAUAAUGCAUUCUUGCAUGGAGAUUUGCAUGAAGAAGUGUAUAUGGUUUUGCCUCAAGGGUUUUCCUCUUCUAAACCUAACCAAGUGUGCAAAUUACUCAAGUCUUUAUAUGGUUUAAAACAGGCUAGCAGGCAGUGGUUUUCUAAACUUUCAACAGCCUUGGUGUCUAUUGGUUACACACAAUCAAAGUCAGAUUACUCUUUGUUUGUUAAGAAGACAUCCACUUCUUUUACUGCUCUUUUAGUAUACGUGGAUGAUGUCAUUCUAGCAGGAGAUGAUAUGGUAGAAAUUGAUUUUGUUAAACAAUUUCUUAAUGACUCUUUUCACAUCAAAGACUUGGGUGAUCUAAAGUUCUUCUUGGGUUUAGAAAUUGCAAGAUCAUCUAAGGGCAUUGUUGUGAAUCAAAGAAAGUAUGCCUUAGAUAUUUUAUCUAAUGCUGGACUCUUAGCUUCUAAGCCAGCAAAAUCACCAAUGGAUGCUUCAACUAAACUUCAGCAACACAUAGGUGAAUCUCUCUCUGAUAGUGCAGCUUAUAGAAGGUUAAUUGGUCGGCUCUUGUACUUAACCACUACUAGACCAGAUUUGGCAUUUGCUGUACAACAACUUAGUCAGUUUCUUGCACAUCCCACCUCUGCUCAUCAACAGGCAGCCCACCGAGUGCUCAGAUACAUUAAGAAUUCUCCAGGCAAUGGCUUAUUUUUUCCAGCUACUUCUUCUCUUCAAUUAAAAAGCUUUAGUGACUCUGAUUGGGCAGGUUGUGUCGAUACUAGGAGAUCAGUCAUUGGAUUCUGCAUUUACUUAGGUGAUUCUUUAAUUUCCUGGAAAUCAAAGAAGCAAAGCACUGUGUCGCGGUCAUCUUCUGAAGCUGAGUAUCGUGCUCUUGCUUCUGUGACUUGUGAGCUUCAAUGGUUAACAUUUUUACCUGAUUAUUUUCAAGUUGCUUAUAAGAAACCAGCCUUGGUUUAUUGUGAUAACCAAUCUGCCUUACAUAUAGCUGCCAAUCCUACCUUCCAUGAGAUAACCAAGCACAUUGAGCUUGAUUGUUACAUUGUUAGGGAGAAAAGUCAGCUAGGGAUCAUCAAGCUCUUACCUGUCUCUUCAGCAGCUCAAAUUGCUGAUAUCUUCACAAAGCCUCUGCCUAUUGCCCCAUUUCAUCAUCUUCAAUCCAAGCUGGGAAUGAUAGACAUAAUUCUCCAGCUUUUGGGGGGGUAUUACCGGAUAUAAAGAAGACAGUGAAGGAGAGCUGAGCUGAGCUGACA